rnacentral:lncRNA from 1 species
AAGCAAUAUUUUAAAUAUCCUGAAUAUAAAUUUCUCUUUCUUCACUUACUAUUAGGUUUGAAGAAAAAACAAGAGAUGGUCUUAUUUCCUUAGCAACAGAGUCAGGUGUGAUUUAUGCCACUAUGUGUUCCUGCAGCUGUCUCCAAGCAACAAAACAAACUGCAAUGCCAACUCUUGUAAGCACAAUGUAUGGAGGGGACUGAGGGAAAACUUUGGAGCCUGUAUACCCAUCCCUGGCAUCAAACAGGAGAAGCUAAAAAGAGGUGAGCCACUUUGCUCUCUGCACAGCUUAUCUCAAGACAUCCCCUCUCUACAUUGGCCCUCUCUACAAUCUUCACCAGCUGCCUAAACACAAGCACUCACUGAUCCCUGCCUUGAAACACCUAUUCUGCAAUCAACCCAAAGGCAGAAGCAAAGAGCUUCUCUAAAAUAAUUACCUCAAAGGGUGUCCUCACACACUUUGUCUUGCAGCAUGGGGCUGUUGUGCUUUCACAAGACAGGGGAAAUGUUUUCACUCUGGAUUUGGAAAGGAAAAUGGAUGAAAAGGAAGACAGAAGAUGCAUGCAACUAUAUUUUGCAUAGGUUUCUGUAACACUUUAAAACGCUGCUCAUUGGAUGCUUCUGCUUAAGUCUGAACAGAUUCACUGGGGAUUUUUGUUAUUAAAGAAGAGUUGCGUCUCAAGUGCGAUAUUCUCGUGCUUUAAUGCUACAACAUUUCAUUGAAAGAUUCAGGUGUAGACAUCCUACCUGUGAUUAUCUCCUGCUGAGGACCUGAAGAGGCUGAGUGAAGGCAUUUGUCAUCCCCCCAGCAUGUGGCCCAUGAUUCCCCUCAUUUCUUGAACUCUCUGGCAGGGACUAACAACGAGAGUCGAGAGUAGUGAUGCAACAGUGAACUGCCCUACAGCAUGGCACAACCCUCAGUGCCAGCAACAAAACUGAGCGCCAAACUCCUCCUUUCACCUGGUAACCUUGCUGGAAAGCCAUAGUGCUUUAAAUGGAUAAAGAUAGGAAAAAUAUAGUGGUAGGAACUCUGAUAGGUUUUCUUUCUUUUCCUUUUCUCCCCUAUAUUGUGUUCUGGUUUUUCGACAGCUGAUAUUACUAUGGGCACCUAAUCAGAAUCAGGCUAAUCCCAUUGCAAUGGGAGCAGUGCUGUAAUGUUAGAAAAGGCCAGAAAGGCACCCGUCUGGAAGCAGGAGUUCUCGUCGGAUUGAGAGACAGCUUUAGUGCCAAAGACCCCAGAGUUAAGCCACUUACAUCCAACUCCCCAUGUUAUAUGAGUGGAAAAGUUGCCCAUUUUUUAAAAAGGUUGCAGAGUUCACAGGUUGGGCUAGUUGCUGCCAGGGUGGAAU